UCGAGUAUUCAGCACACCUCCUUUCCUGUGGCGCCGGGGAGCAGGAUGUUGAGUUGGGUGAGCUGGGCCGAGUGUUCCUUGGCCUUGAGGCGCAAGGCGGCGAUGCUGGAGGCCCGGCGGUCCGCUGCAGCCGAAGAAGACGCAGGGGCGGCGGCAGGGGACGGGUCUGGGAGGACGGGGCCUGCGUGGGAGCUGUCAUGCGCGGCGGGGGCGGGCUGUCGCAGGAGCGCGGCGGCGGUGGAAGCGCUGGUCAGAGGACUCAUACUGGAGAAGAGCCUGGAGGGACAGAGUUGUUGUGUUCAUAACAGAGCGAGUGAGGAGGAAACAUUUCCUGCCAAUUAAGGCUUUCAGUGUCCCUCGGGGCAAAUGAGGAGCUAAUUGCGGCAUGUGGCGUUUGCAGCGUCAGCGCUCUUCACAGCUUGUUUUGCAGCAUCACACAUUUGGUUAAUUUAUUAAGACAUUUGGCAGUGAUUACACGCCACACUGCGAAUAGUUACAACACAUUUCUAAUCAGACGCCCCGAGAUAAACAGCCACGUCAUUAGCUCCACUCCGUUGCCUGUCGGUGCCGUACGGUAGAACAGGUGGAGGGGAUACCUGCCAAAGGUGGGCCCGAUGAAAGCCGGGUGGCGGAACAUGGCCGCCGUGCCCAGGAAGGUGCCCAAGCCGAGGGAGGUGGCGAGCGGCGGUGCGGAGCCGUUGUGGUGGGGCGGGGCGAGGCCCGGGAAGGCGGCGGCGGCCGCUGCUGCCGUCCACGCCGACUCCAAGGCGGGAUGCGGGUGAGGCGGGAAGUGUGCUCCCUCCAGGUAGUGGCUGAGAGGGUGGCCUGCUGCCAGGGGACCCGGGAAGGGGAGGCCCGGCGGGUGUGCCUGCACGCCCGCCUUCUCACGCUUCCUCCACUUGGCCCUGCGGUUCUGAAACCACACCUAGAGGGCAGACAGUGGGAGCAUGCCUGGACCAGUGACGUGCGGUGAACUAUACACCAGGAGGCACUGCCUCACCUGCCUCCCCUGACUGCACGUCACUGGGCCCUGGACGGAUGUGGUUCCACCACAAGGAACUUGGGACUGACCGGCGUUUUACAUCCCACUUGGAGGAACAUCUGGUCAAACGCAACAAUUUGGGGGCUUCGUCCGAGAUGACACGCUGACAAUUGGACCUUCUCUUGCAAUCUUCUGGACAGACUCACAUGGCCAAAACAUAAUUCAAGGUAAGCAGAACCUUUCUUUUUAGAUAAAAUCUGCAUUAGGAGUCUGUCCUGAGGUCUGUAAGUCAAACACAGAAUUGUACCCCAGACACAGAGUGGUGAUUUUGAUAGAUUGAUUGCAUUUUGAUUGAUUGAUUGCAUUUUGAUAGAUUGGUUGCAUUUUGCCGUAGCCACCAUUGCAUAAAAGUUGUGAAUACCACUCACGUCAUUGUGUCAAGAUUACCGUGACGGGCUGCUUCACUGACGAGUAAGCAAAUAGUCGGGUGUGGCUCACCCUGGGUAGUUGGUCGCCGCCUAAAAGAGUAACGGGUUAGAGUUAGAGGCUCUAGCUGCGUAUUGUACGAUAAAUUGCACGGGUUAGAGUUAGAGGCUCUAGCUGCGUAUUGUAUGAUAAAAGUACGGGGUUAAAGGCCGCCGUAUGGUUUGGGGGUUAAAGGCCCUCAGGGGUUCGAGGCCCCUGGAAAAAAAAAAAAAAAAAAGACACAAUGGCCACUGAGUGUGACAGACAAGAAUGUGAUGACGGCUGGGGAAAAUGUGAUGAAUCAUUACUGUUUAAUGAUCAAUUGAAUGCACUGUUGUCGACAAUGGAAUUAGCAGGUAGAGUUUAAAAGGAAAAAAAAAAAGAGAACGUUCCUUGAAAGGGUUAAGAGGGAGUUUACAAUACUCGAAAAGUUUUGAACUCAAACGUCUGGUAAAAUAAAAAAUAAAAUAAAAAAGUAACUGGAAGUUUUAUGGUAAAGUGAAACACAGAGAGAGAGUGCUUACGUGUGCGUGUGUGUGUGUGUGCGUAGGGCCGUAGGCACUUGCUUGUGUGUGCGUGAGUGCUUACAUGUGCGUGUGUGUGUGUGUGCUGGAUGCGCGUGCUCGUGUGUGUGUGUGUGUGUGUGCGCUGGUGAAAAUGGAAUAGGCAGGUCGAGAGAAAAAGGAGCACGGUUGGUGCUCGAGAAUUUAAGAGUUUGGCGUAUGAUAAAAGUAAACGGGGAUUACGUGGAAAAACGAAAUGCAGCAAAAGAACAAAUGAUUAAUGAGACAAAUAUGACAGAAUGGAUUGAUUGGUCUUUUGCCUGCCGCGCAUGCCUAAGACAAUUCAAACGACCCGCCCAGACUUUGACUAGGACACCGCCCCCUACUCCAGUGACAAGAGAAGGAGGUAUUAACACGCCCCCUCUAAGAUUAAUCCUGCCUCCGAAAAUUAACCCCUUGUACACGUCUGACCAUUUUCUCCGGCAGACAUUUUUGACACAUGACAUUAACACUUUGGACAUACUACAAUAUAAGUCUCUUGCCGAUGCAUACAUGCAAGCCAUUGUUGACCUUGCUUUCCCACUUGUACCUCCGGGAGGGAACCUUUGGCCAAACACUUUGGACAAAGUUAACCCUGAUAUACACGGUGCCAAAAACAAUAUAUGGCAGGACAUUUUAUUCAUCCCAUGCAAAAUAGGGCUAAUGACAGAGCAACAAGGAAACGACUACUUAAAUUACAGAUCGCUGAAGAUAAAAGGUUAAAAGAACCAAAAGGUCAAAGAUCAGCUAGGGUAUAUUCAGCAGUGGGUGACCUUGCUUUUGAGUUCCAACAGGUGGAGGAAAGAAUCCUCAACAGACGUGCGGUUGGACUCGGGUGGUGGACAACACGAUGCUUCAAAGCCGGUCUGGGGUAGACACUGUUUCGGCUGUGACCAGCCUGGUCACUGGAGUCGUGACUGUCCGAACAUUUCCGAACAGGAAAGGUUCCGUCGUGCCAACAAACGAACACGAAGGCGUAUAAGAGGACGCCCACAUCAGGAGCCGCAGCAGGAAGUACCGACAGGACCCCUGCUGGACAUGAGUGUCAACGGACAAUUUUAUCAGCCACCCAUUCGAUUCUGAAUGCAGAGGUAUCAAAAAAACUGUGUGCUUCCUCUUUAAAGGUCGAAGGCUUCGCUGGGGUCACAAGAAGGUUACCUGUCACCAAACCACUUCCGGUUCAGAUUGCUGGACCUCCUUUACAGACUGUACCCUGACAUUCAAAUCGCAAAGAAGGAACAUUCCUGGUGUUACCUGACGGCUCAACCACCCAGCUGCGACACCACUACCAAGACUCCUCCAUGAGCUCAGACCACAGCCUGAAACAACAGGAAUGGCUGACAUCCAACUGCUCUAACGGUGAAAACCCUGACUGACUGAGAUGCUUCCGUGUGUUCUGCCACCCGACUCGCCAUAUGUUAUGAUUAUUUAUAUAUGUUGGAACUCAAGGUGUGGCUGCUCAUGUUGACCUAUCUUUGCAACAGCUAGCAUGGUAUAAGAUGGACACAAUAGUGUCCCACAUUGUUCCCUUGCUCUCUGUCUCGCCUACAAAACCAAAGAACUUAGGUGCAAUGAUAAGACACGGCGUAGCUGCCAAACAUUACACCGACACCCAAAUACCACAUUUUCAAUUUUUUAGGUUUAUCACAUAGUUGUGUUAAACACAUAACUAUGGGCUGCACUUUAGACACCUGUAGGCUACGAGGAGCUAGCAGCUACACAACAGCUGAGCUAAAACGACACAUUACACAUUUAAGCAUAUCAAAUAAUUAUAGUUGCUCAUUACAUACACAAAGUUGCCAUGGCAGAAGUCUGAUAGAAAGUAUUCAGUAACAAACGUGUCCGCAUCAUUCGACUUUCUACAACAUGAGCUUGACUUAAUCAAUUAUUGGGGCCACCAGGUGUGGUAAAAUUUCAAAAUACUAUUGCUAAAGCAUCCGCCAUAAGGGUAGUAUUUUUCUAGUAUUUGUGACAAUAUAAAAU